rnacentral:tRNA from 1 species
GGGCGAUUAGCUCAGUUGGGAGAGCACCUGCCUUACAAGCAGGGGGUCGUAGGUUCAAGUCCUGCAUCGCCCACCA